AGGCUCGACUCAAGAGAAUGAAGAUCGACUACGCACUGCUGUACCCGGCCACAUUGAAGAUUAUGGUCAACGGAUCGCCUAAAAAACUCUACACAUCUGAAGAGGCUGCUGCGUUUAUUGACUCUCUCGGGUGAAAGCGGCACAUGAGGAGCAGGAGAUAACCGAGAGAACGGGCUGAAUUCUGGAGAUUGAGUGUACAUCAAGAUACACCUGGAGGGGGUGUUGGGACAGCGUUGGUCUGGUCUACACACAGUACUCCUUACAGCACCUGCAGUGGUAAAGAUCGUCUCUCCUCGGUGGGUUCACCCUUCUCACGUGAAGUGAGGUCCAGCUGCAUAAUGGGUGAGCUUGAAGACGCAGUGACAGAGGAAGCGGAGCUAAAGAGAGAGAGAAAGAGUAGAUUCCACUAUAGACAUGCAGAUGGGUUGGGUCUUGGAGCUACUUUAACCACCAUAGUUGGGUUGGGUUAGUUGCUUUAUUGGUUAAUGCAUCAGAUGAAAGGAUAGAUGUUGGGGUAAUUGUACUCUGGACAACAUUCUGGAGGCAUUGAUGUGAAAGCAUAUACAGUGCUGGGUUACCUCAAGAGGAUGUAGCGUUGAUUAGGGAUACGCAUUCGCCUAUCAGGUGACGUGCCUAUCAGGUGGCAAUGGAGGAGGAAAGAGAUGAGGAACAAAGUGAAAAUGACAUGGCUUGGGAACACCUCUUGGAUCCUGUGGUCUGACGGGGAAGACUGGGCGAAAGCAUGAGGAGGGUUUUUAAGGCUUUCAUUUUUGCCAAACUCAGCAGAAAAGUAUCCUGAAGGCAUAGUCAGGUGAAGAGAGAGUGGGAAUGGUCAUGUUAUCAAACUUUGGGUUUUCUUUGCAUGUAUAAUUAUGCAUAGAUUACCACAUUGUUAAUACUGUUAUGUUUUGUGUUUCUUGUUGCUUUGAGGUCAACAGCUCCAGUGGACACGUUAUUAUCAGUGUUCUACGAGAAAUGGAAAUACGAUUGUGCUUGGUAUGACUAUAGAAUAGAGGCCAUAAGUCUCUGAGUUUGUAAACCUCACUGUGAAUGUUAAUUAUGUUUUGUUUUUUUGUUCAUGUUUUGUUAUCAUUGUUUGUUCAUGUAUAAGUCAUUUCCAAGUUUAUGUAAGAUGAACAGCAGGAAGCUAUUGUUCAAGAGGAGGGACUGUUGGGUUCUGAGAAUAUGAAAUAUACUUAUUCAUGUCACUGAGGGAGAGAAGGUAAUGUAUAAUGUUUACAUUAUGUCAGGAUAUGUUGUUGUUAGCCAGCAGGGAUCCUUUGGGAGGGAUCCUCUGGGAGGAGAAGACACACAGUCUGGUACCAGUCACCAUGACAGCUGUGAGUUGGGGAGGAGUGAGCACUUGGGAGCUGCUUUUCUUUAUCUUAGGAAUUUAAUGAUAGGAUUUAGUGUAAAUAAUAUGUCAUUUUGAUUUACUUAUUUUUCUGCUGACGACAGGUAGGGUUGUGAGGUGCUAAAAAGAGGUAGGGAAUUUGUAACAUUUAUUGCCACCUUUCAUCCAGCCUAUGCGGCGAUCUCAUUGUGCUACACUCUAUGAACUACCCGUGUGCAAUAAAUUCUGAAUGUUUUUAGGAAGCAAUUUAGAUUGAAAAUAUAUGUUGUGUGCUCUCUUUAAAUGACUCGCCCUUUGUGUCUAAUCCAAAGACUGUCUCAAAACAUCUGAACCUGAGGAGCAGCGAGUUCUCCACAGAGAGCUUCAGGGUCACCUGGGAACACUCAGCCCAAGACGUGGUCCUCUACACUCACCUGGACCCCAACCAGAGGAGGAGCACUAAUGAGGUGUACUUCACAUACUUUCAGCUUUAGUAUGAAGAUCGACAAGGAUGAGAUCAUCCUUCAAGAUCAAAACAACUUACUGAAAGAUGUUGAAAACAAAUCCCACACAAGAGCCACAUACAGUAGAGGAGCAUUAUUGUGACAGAAUACAAUGACUUUGGAAAAAGUAAAAAAUGUUGUUUAAGUUCAAUUUUUGUUUUUGGUGCUGCUCUAUGGUCAUCAAUGAAGACCGAACGCCCACAAUGAUGACGCCAUACCCAUUGAACCCAUUUUUUUACAAUCACAUACCUCCCCACUAACACACAGGCAUUGAUGGUUGUGUUAUUGUACACGUUUAAAGAUAUCCAUUACAAAGCUUAAGUGUCCCACUUUGCUAAGUGUCCCACUUAACCAAAACUCACCCGAAUGGGGUAUGGUUUAUCUAACCUUGGGUGUAUAUUGCUGUAUCCAUAUUUUUUUUUACCUCAACAGAAUGGGCUUCUUUCUAGUUAUUUUACCACCUGAAUUUAAGGGGAUUUGUCGCUACACAAAUACACUCAGAAAGAAAACAAUUGUAAGGCAUUUAAUGUUUGCCAUAUAUCAGGGGUGAAAGUAAGGCGGUAAGGUCCAGUAUGACGUCCCCGCAAAAUAAAUAUUGGGGGUACGCCGUACCUGUAAAACAUGAGCCUAUCACAAUUAAUACAACAUGCCCUCAAAAAUAUAGGCUAUUACACCAUUAUGUAACAUUACUACAUGUCUGAGGCAUGAAACAUUUUCGAAUUAACAUGGUGGUCUAUGCUCCAAAUUGCAUUGUGGUUUGAGGAGAACACUUACAUUUUGUAAAGGUGGAGAUGAGAGGUCGAGACGCUGGAGGUCAAUUCGGAGUCUGAGGACCGCGUGGACAACAGUGGAUGCAUCAAUUCAGGCUAGGCUAAGUGUAGGCCUAAUGACAAUGGCAGAAUGUCAUCACAAUACACCUAGGUGUUUUGUAACAGGUGUCUCUUUCCAUUCAUCACAUUGCGGCUGCUCAGUGCACUGUUGGGGUUUGGUUGCUGAAACUAUUUAGUGAGUGGACGAAUGUUCGCAGAUAGCCUAUAGGAGCGCCUUUGUUAAGCGAUUGUUUGGCAGUCAGAUGAAAACCUCCUGACUGGUUGUGUUUAUUCCACAUUAAAAGGCAUAGGCGGCGUAUCCAUAAGGCUAGGGGAAGCUACGCUUUCACUAAAGUAAAUAUAAUUAAAUUGCUAAAAUUAUAUAGCCUAAUUAGCUUACUCCUGUCUAUACAGAAAUAAAUAAAAUCAUUGAAAAUCGGAUACUACACCAGAAAGCAUGAUUUGGCCUACAGUUGGAAGAGCCCGCAUGUUGGGCAGCACGUGCUGCAAAUACAAAAUAGAUUAUUGUUGAGAUGUGACUGUCAGUGAAAAGCAGAGACCCAGCAAUGCAUAUCAUAUUAUUUAUUUCAAUGAUUUCCUUAUAUGAACUGUAAGUCGGUAAAAUCUGUGAUAUUUUUUCAUCUUGUGUUUAUAUUUUUGUUCAGUAUAUAAUAAUGUUAUGGUAAAUUUAAGCAUUUUAUGAUUAUUCCUCGUGACUACUUGUUUUGUUCCACAGUUUGUCAUGGUUAUAAUAUCAGUAUGUGCAUGUAGUUUAGAGUUUCAAUUUUUAAUGUCAUGUGCACAAGUACAGUGAAAUGCCUUUCUUGCAAGCUCUAAACCCAACAAUGCAGUAAUCAAUAAUAAGAUGUAUAGAUGUUUGUGAUGAUAUUGUACACAGUAAGUGCCAGGAAAUGUGUGUGUGCAAUAUCAAGUAACCCAAUCCCACCCCUAUUAUGAC
rnacentral:lncRNA from 1 species